UGCGAAUGGAUUUUAGCUUGA
ensembl:piRNA 21ur-488 ncRNA